ensembl:lncRNA
UCAGCCUCUGUGCUGUUAUUGACGUCAUCCCCAGUGUACUCCCACCUGAAACCUAAAUUCUGACCCCACGUGGUCUCACUCCGGAGACAACGCCAGCUACUGAAACUGGGUUGAAGCAGACACUGCCUCCUAUGGGGAGCUCAAGCCCAGCAUGGCAUCGCAUCCCAGCUGCCUGCUGGCCCUUCGCUACCGACACCUUAGAAGCCCGUCUUUGAAGAUGACAGGCAGGCCGUGCUUCUCCUGAAUGACAGCGUGGAGCAGAACUGCCUGCCGGCUCCAGAACGGUUACGUGCAAGGGGGACACAGGCCUGUAUUCUUUCAGCCCUCCUCUUUGGGCGUCUCUUUGACUCUAAGAUGGCAUCAUGGCUGUUAGCACUAAAUGUGACUGAAUUGCAUAUUUUAAAAAUGGCUAAAAUGGUGAAUUUUAUGUUAUGUGAAUUUUAUGACAAUAAAAAUAAUAGGCGGUUAGACUUUAUUUUAAUCGGAGAGAGAAGACACUCGAGAGUUCCAGGGUGAAGCUGGUGGAGACUGAACAGAGCUGGAGGAGAAGUAUUUGUCCUUGGGGUCCUUCUUGGGUGGGGACGGACGCGGACAAAGGAAGGGGAGAGAAAGGUGGCGGAGAGGAUGCUGAGUCCAGGAAGGGGGUCAGGGAGAAGGCCACCUGGCCACGUACCUUUCCUGGAUUCUCCUGAGGACAUGGAUCUUCCGUGGGUUUUGUUCAUCAUUUAUUUCUGAUUACUCGGCAUUCCACCACCUUCUUACCUGGGGAGAAUUCAAAGUGAGGGGUUGUGGGAGGCGCUGGGAGGAACCCUCCUUUACAAGUCUUGGUGGCAGGCAGGGACCUUCCUCCCAAUGCUCAGUCUGAAAAGGUCAGAGAUGCUCCCUCUCCGCCCUGCUCCCCCACCUGUUAACCACGCUGGACCCUAGUCAUCUGACCAGCCUCAGCUGAUGAGAUAUUCCUUCUGGGACUUGGACUCAUGGAGAGCGAUGCGAAGACACGAAGGCGGGUGAGAGACCCCUCGUGACAGCCAAGCCCAAGGAUGAGCGUUCACGGCAGCAGCAGUGGACAGAGUGUGGGGCUUUGGCCCUGAGUGUCACACUCACCUUGAGAGUGACCUUGGCUGUGGCAGCCAAGGCCCACCCUCUUGUUCUGGUGAUCUUCCAAGGCUGAUUCACCAGCCUCCCUUCAAUUCUCAAGCUACCUAAUAUCCUUCCAACAAAUUCCUCGACUGCUUGAGUUAGCCAGAGCUUGUUUCUGUCGCUUGUAACUAGGAACCCUGGUACACGGAUGUAGCUUGACGGCCUCCCUUCCAAACAGAAGAUGUGGUGCAUUCCAAUUAAAUGCAGAAUUGAAGUGCUGACUAUACCUUCUUCUUGUGUGUGAGUGUGUGUAUUUUACCUCCUACAUUUCAGAUGUGAAACCAAAAUGCAUUUCCGUGCACUGACUUAUUGUUACUAUGGCGAUAGGCAGAAAGAGCAUCGCUCUAGCAAUUAGAAGACCAGGCCACACUGGGAGAGCAUCCUUGGGCAAGUCAGUUUCUUCUCUACGAGGGCCGACAUGGUCUGCGAGCCCUUCUCUGGUGCUUGAAAUUCUGUGAUUCGGGAAAUGCAAUGGAAAUAAUUUAUAUGAGCACUGUGCCCAGGAAAAUAAACUAUUUUCUCUCACAAA